rnacentral:rRNA from 1 species
UGGGGAAUUUUGGACAAUGGGCGAAAGCCUGAUCCAGCAAUGCCGCGUGUGUGAAGAAGGCCUUCGGGUUGUAAAGCACUUUUGUCCGGAAAGAAAUGGCUCUGGUUAAUACCUGGGGUCGAUGACGGUACCGGAAGAAUAAGGACCGGCUAACUACGUGCCAGCAGACGCGGUAAUACGUAGGGUCCAAGCGUUAAUCGGAAUUACUGGGCGUAAAGCGUGCGCAGGCGGUUGUGCAAGACCGAUGUGAAAUCCCCGAGCUUAACUUGGGAAUUGCAUUGGUGACUGCACGGCUAGAGUGUGUCAGAGGGGGGUAGAAUUCCACGUGUAGCAGUGAAAUGCGUAGAGAUGUGGAGGAAUACCGAUGGCGAAGGCAGCCCCCUGGGAUAACACUGACGCUCAUGCACGAAAGCGUGGGGAGCAAACAGG